rnacentral:rRNA from 1 species
CUACGGGGGGCUGCAGUGGGGAAUAUUGCACAAUGGAGGAAACUCUGAUGCAGCAACGCCGCGUGGAGGAUGACACUUUUCGGAGCGUAAACUCCUUUUAUAUAGGAAGAAGAUGACGGUACUAUAUGAAUAAGCGCCGGCUAACUCCGUGCCAGCAGCCGCGGUAAUACGGAGGGUGCAAGCGUUAAUCGGAAUUACUGGGCGUAAAGCGCGCGUAGGCGGAUUAAAAAGUCAGAAGUGAAAUCCUAUAGCUUAACUAUAGAACUGCUUCUGAAACUCUUAAUCUAGAAUAUGGGAGAGGUAGAUGGAAUUUCUGGUGUAGGGGUAAAAUCCGUAGAGAUCAGAAGGAAUACCGAUUGCGAAGGCGAUCUACUAGAACAUUAUUGACGCUGAGACGCGAAAGCGUGGGGAGCAAACAGGAUUAGAUACCCGAGUAGUC